rnacentral:rRNA from 1 species
GCGUUAUCCGGAUUUAUUGGGCAUAAAGGGUUGUGUAGCCGGGUCAGUAAGUCAGUGGUGAAAUCCUGCGGCUGAACCGUAGAAUCGCCGUUGAUACUGCUGUUCUUGAGUAUAGUUGAGCUUGGGCGGCAUGUGUAACGUAGCGCUCGAUAUGCAUAGAUAUGACACAGAACACCGAUUGCGAAGGCAGCUCACUAAGCUAUCACUGACGAUGAGGCACGAAAGCGUGGGGAGCGAACAGGAUUAGAUACCUUGGUAGUCCACGCUGUAAACGAUGAUUACUCGAUAUGUGCGAUAUUCUGUACGCGUCCGAGCGAAAGCAUUAAGUAAUCCACCUGGGAAGUACGGCAGCAAGGUUGAAACUCAAGGGAAUUGACGGGGGCCCGCACAAGCGGAGGAACAUAUGGAUUAAGUCGAUGGUACGCGAGGAACCUUACAUGGGCUUAAAUGCAGAUUGACGUUCCGGGAAAUCUGGAAUUCCCUUCGGGACAAUUUACAAGAUGAUAGCAAGGCUGUCGUCAGCUCGUGCCGUGAGCUGUCGGGUUAAGUCCCAUUACGAGCGCAACCCUUAUCGUUAGUUGCCAGCGGAUUUCACCGGGGACUAUUACGAAACUCCCGGCGUAAGCCGAGAGGAAGCUGGGGAUGACGUCAAGUCAGCACGGCCACCUAUGUCACAGGGCUACACACGUGUUACCAUGGCCGGGAACAAUAGGGCAGCUACCUGGAGACAGGAUGCAAAUCUGCGAAAACGCAGGUGUCAAGUUCGGAUUGAAGCUCAUGCAACCCGACGUUCAUGUAGAUUGGAUUCGAUAGUAACUCGCGCAUCAGCCAACGGCGCGGUGAAUACGUUCCCG